rnacentral:rRNA from 1 species
CUACGGGGGGCUCCAGUGGGGAAUCUUAGACAAUGGGCGCAAGCCUGAUCUAGCCAUGCCGCGUGAGUGAUGAAGGCCUUAGGGUCGUAAAGCUCUUUCGCUGGGGAAGAUAAUGACGGUACCCAGUAAAGAAACCCCGGCUAACUCCGUGCCAGCAGCCGCGGUAAUACGGAGGGGGUUAGCGUUGUUCGGAAUUACUGGGCGGAAAGCGCGCGUAGGCGGACUGUUAAGUCGGGGGUGAAAUCCCGGGGCUCAACCCCGGAACGGCCUUCGAUACUGGCAGUCUGGAGUUCGAGAGAGGUGAGUGGAAUUCCGAGUGUAGAGGUGAAAUUCGUAGAUAUUCGGAGGAACACCAGUGGCGAAGGCGGCUCACUGGCUCGAUACUGACGCUGAGGUGCGAAAGUGUGGGGAGCAAACAGGAUUAGAUACCCCUGUAGUC